AUGAACUUUUGUUAUGCAUCCAUAUGUUUAGAUCUGCAACUGUGGCGCAACCAUCGCCCAUUCAUCUCCAACACGACUUGUCUGCCUUGUCACUCUCUGUGCCUGUACGAGGCCAUCCCUGAGCUUCUGCAGCCAGUGGGAGCUGUUUCAGACGAGGUCCUAGAGGCGACGAGGGCAGUGCGGUGGCACGAGAGGGUAGAGUGGAUCUCCGACGAUGUGAAGUGUUGGUCGCGGAGUGUGAAGGAGUGGAAGAGAGUGAUUGCAGAGAUGGAGGGAGAUCCAACUAUCCCCCGUGUCCGCCCGGAAGGGACCAUUGAAGCUGCCAAGCAGCACUCCAACUGGGAGCUGCGCAAUUUCGGCCAGAGGAUCUACUUCGAGAGCAAUGCGGAGGAGAGAGCCAGGAUGCCGCCCCCAAGUGCAUCGGCGUUCGAUAUCAUCAGCUGGGGAAGGGCGGAGGUGAAAACUCCAGCGGGCAAGGCAAGGUGGGAGUGCUUGAACGAUCGGAUUGUUGGGGAACGUUGUAUAAAAUAA
rnacentral:rRNA from 1 species